AUUGAACGCUGGCGGCAUGCCUUACACAUGCAAGUCGAACGGUAACGGGCCUUCGGGUGCCGACGAGUGGCGAACGGGUGAGUAAUGUAUCGGAACGUACCUUUCAGUGGGGGAUAACGUAGCGAAAGUUACGCUAAUACCGCAUAUUCUGUGAGCAGGAAAGCAGGGGAUCGCAAGACCUUGCGCUGAUUGGGCGGCCGAUAUCAGGUUAGCUAGUUGGUGAGGUAAAGGCUCACCAAGGCGACGAUCUGUAGCGGGUCUGAGAGGAUGAUCCGCCACACUGGAACUGGGACACGGUCCGGACUCCUACGGGAGGCAGCAGUGGGGAAUUUUGGACAAUGGGGGCAACCCUGAUCCAGCCAUGCCGCGUGAGUGAAGAAGGCCUUCGGGUUGUAAAGCUCUUUCGGCCGGGAAGAAAUCGCACGGGCUAAUACCCUGUGUGGAUGACGGUACCGGAAUAAGAAGCACCGGCUAACUACGUGCCAGCCGCCGCCGUAACAC
rnacentral:rRNA from 1 species